rnacentral:rRNA from 1 species
CAGCAGCCGCGGUAAUACGUAGGUGGCAAGCGUUGUCCGGAAUUAUUGGGCGUAAAGGGCUCGCAGGCGGUUUCUUAAGUCUGAUGUGAAAGCCCCCGGCUCAACCGGGGAGGGUCAUUGGAAACUGGGAAACUUGAGCGCAGAAGAGGAGAGUGGAAUUCCACGUGUAGCGGUGAAAUGCGUAGAGAUGUGGAGGAACACCAGUAGCGAAGGCGACUCUCUGGUCUGUAACUGACGCUGAGGAGCGAAAGCGUGGGGAGCGAACAGGAUUAGAUACCCCUGUAGUCCCUGUCUCUUAUAA